AUUCUCGUUUGAGAAACGUUAUCGAAAUGAGUACGCUUUACACACGCUAACGAGUAGCAAUUGGAGGGCAAGUCUGGUGCCAGCAGCCGCGGUAAUUCCAGCUCCAAUAGCGUAUAUUAAAGUUGCUGCAGUUAAAAAGCUCGUAGUUGGAUCUUGGGAGCGGGCGGGCGGUCCGCCGCGAGGCGAGUCACCGCCCGUCCCCGCCCCUUGCCUCUCGGCGCCCCCUCGAUGCUCUUAGCUGAGUGUCCCGCGGGGCCCGAAGCGUUUACUUUGAAAAAAUUAGAGUGUUCAAAGCAGGCCCGAGCCGCCUGGAUACCGCAGCUAGGAAUAAUGGAAUAGGACCGCGGUUCUAUUUUGUUGGUUUUCGGAACUGAGGCCAUGAUUAAGAGGGACGGCCGGGGGCAUUCGUAUUGCGCCGCUAGAGGUGAAAUUCUUGGACCGGCGCAAGACGGACCAGAGCGAAAGCAUUUGCCAAGAAUGUUUUCAUUAAUCAAGAACGAAAGUUAGAGGUUCGAAGGCGAUCAGAUACCGCCCUAGUUCUAACGGUAAACUAUGCCAACCAGCGAUUCGCCGAAGUUCAUUUAAGACUCGGCGAGCAGCUUCCGGGAAACCAAAGUGUUUCGGUUCCGGGGGAAGUAUGGUUGCAAAGCUGAAACUUAAAGGAAUUGACGGAAGGGCACCACCAGGAGUGGAGCCUGCGGCUUAAUUUGACCCAACACGGGAAAACUCACCCGGCCCGGACACUGAAAGGAUUGACAGAUUGACAGCUCUUUCUUGAUUCAGUGGGUAGUGGUGCAUGGCCGUUCUUAGUUGGUGGAGCGAUUUGUCUGGUUAAUUCCGAUAACGAACGAGACUCUACCCUAUUAAAUAGUGACAGUAUUGCAUAUUCUGUGCUGAUCACUUCUUAGAGGGACUGGCAAAUUGAAAGCUGCACGAAAAAGAGCAAUAACAGGUCUGUGAUGCCCUUCGAUGUCCGGGGCUGCACGCGCGCUACAAUGAAAGCGUCAACGUGAGUUACGUCCUUACCUGAAAAGGUUUGGCAAUCGAUUGAAACGUUUUCUUGAAUGGAAUAGGGAAUUGCAAUUGUUUCCCUUGAACGAGGAAUUCCCAGUAAGCGUGAGUCAUUAGCUCGCGUUGAUUACGUCCCUGCCCUUUGUACACACCGCCCGUCGCUACUACCGAUUGGAUGAUUUAGUGAGGUGUUUUGACUAGCGCCUGUAGUCGGAUGUAUAUUCGGCUUCGCGCCGGGAAAUUUCCCAAACCAAAUCAUCUAGAGGAAGUAAAAGUCGUAACAAGGUUUCCGUAGGUGAACCUGCGGAAG
rnacentral:rRNA from 1 species